rnacentral:sRNA from 1 species
UGGAACUAAACUAACCUCUACUUCUAAGC